rnacentral:rRNA from 1 species
CACCGCGGUUAUACGAGGAACCCAAGUAGAUGGCCUCCGGCGUAAAGCGUGGUUAAAAUGCUAGAAAAACUAAAGCCAAAUAUCCUCAUAACUGUUAUACGUUCAUGAGAGCAAGAAGCCCAACCACGAAAGUGGCUUUACACAUUUGACCCCACGAAAGCUAGGGCA